rnacentral:rRNA from 1 species
UACGUAGGGUGCAAGCGUUGUCCGGAAUUAUUGGGCGUAAAGAGCUCGUAGGCGGUCUGUCGCGUCUGCUGUGAAAACUCGGGGCUUAACCCCGGGCCUGCAGUGGGUACGGGCAGACUAGAGUGCGGUAGGGGAGACUGGAAUUCCUGGUGUAGCGGUGAAAUGCGCGGAUAUCAGGAGGAACACCGGUGGCGAAGGCGGGUCUCUGGGCCGUAACUGACGCUGAGGAGCGAAAGCGUGGGGAGCGAACAGG